ensembl:processed_transcript 2810430I11Rik RIKEN cDNA 2810430I11 gene
ACAGGCCAAGGAGGAAAGUUCUGCAGGCUCGGAGGAGGCCGGCGGCGAAGGAGCCCGAGAUGACAGCGGCGCGGAGGUUCUGCGCACCUCUUACAGUCCCCGAGGUCCGGUCCCCAGAGCACUCUUACCUGCGCGGCUCGAAGGCGGCGCCCACAGCAGCAGCAGGAACAGGAGCAGCGGCGAAGACAGCAGCAGGGCGCCUGGGCGCGCAGCUUUCCAGCGGGUGUGUACCCCGACCUGGCCAGACUCCAAGAACCAGCGUUGAGGGACCCCCGAAGUUUGAUCGCUGGAAUUCAAAAGAGAGAUUGCAGUACCACACAGAACUUUCUCUUUAAGGAGGAGUUCCGAGAGCUCCUCUUCUGGGCGGAGACUCAACUUGCAAUUCAGCCAGAAGGGGCUCCCUAGACUAUGACUGACAGGCCAACACAGCGCUGGGGACCUGCCUUCUACCUCUCCACAGACCAGACUGUCAAGGAUGCCCAGAGGGGCCUUAAGUGAACAAGGAGUGACCAAGUUAUUAAUCAGGUGAAGGUCAGUCUCAGAUCCCACCCCACCGCCUUACUGCUGUCCCUGGUGGCCCAACAACUCACAAGGAAAAGGAAGAGCCCCCUUCCAGAGCUGACAGCUGGAAAAGGAGAGGGGCUCCCAGCUCCCCAUCUACAGCAGAGGGAGACAGGAGUUCUCCCAGACUUCUCCAGGCCUGGGAGGCCCUGCAAAAGCCUGACUCACUGCCCUGCCCUUCUCCAAGGGCUUCAGGGUUUGUUUAGAAAGAAUCAGAGUGAAUUAAGAAGGCUUUCAGACACAAAGCUAUCGCUGCCUUUGAACACAUUGCAGCCUGGAAGAAUUUUGUAGUGAUGGAGACCGGCCUGGGACAUCUCUCUCCGGCUGCAUCCUCAGGCUCCCUAGUUUCUCAUUAUUCUCCAAACAAAAGGAGAGUGGCAGUCAGGGUGCAGAGGCAUUAAUGGGAUAGAGGCAGUCAGAGGGCAGAGGCAGUCAAGGGGCAAAGGCAGUCAGAGGGCGGAGGCAGUCAGGGGAUAGAGGCAGUCAGGGGGCAGAGGCAGUCAGAGGAGUUGCUGGGAUGGCCAUGCUCUGGUUCUUGAAUCUGAAUGGGGGUGGCUAGUACUGACUUAAUUCAAGCUUUGCUUAAGUGUGGAAUGUACCUUAUAGGGAACAUCAGACAGUACACAGAAUAGAGGAGGAAAGCUGGGGAUGCAGCUCAGAGGCUGUGCACGAAGGUCCUAAAUUCUAUCCAGAGUACAGAGAGGGCAGAGGGAAACAAGCUUGAGUGGACAUGCAGACAGACAGACAGACAGACUCAGUCACAGUACAGUAAGAGUUAAAAGUCAGCUUGUACAGUUGGUUAUGGAAUAAUUAUGUAUGUGUGUAAGUUGUUUAAAUGAUAAGAUGUGUAUGUGUGUGUAUAUGAACACAUGUGGGGGCAUGUACAUGCAUAUGUGUGUCUCUGUGUGUGUGCUGUGUAUACUGUGUGCUUAUGUGCCAUUCCAUUGGUGAGUUUCAUGGGGAUGAAAACCUCAGCCAUCCGGAGGCUUUCACCAAGCUCACCUCCCCAUCCCCAACCUGCAUCAGGUCUACAUAUCAGGGGAGGUCUUUCUCCCAUCCACAGACGGGGACUCUGCAAGUCAGGCGGGGUAAGGGGCUUACCCAGAGCACCAAAUCAACAAUGCGCUGUGUCAGAGCCAAGAUGAGUGCUGCAGCUGAUCAGCAGGCACAGGGUUCUUCCCUCUUCGUGCUAUAAUACAGACUCAGAACACCUGCCUUCCAGCAGGUACACCCUAGGCAUCCUGCUCAGGCUAAGCCAGCCCAUACCCAGCAUCCUCCUGUGCCCAUUGGUAUCUCAUGAUAAUGGAGAGUAUUGGUCAUGGUCUGUUCACCAGCAUAAGUCUUUGAGGAAGCAAGCUGCCUGUGGGCCCCAUCUACACCAGCCCGCACUGUUGCACCAGGUCUCCAUGAUCAUGGACAUAGUCUUGUGCUUCCGCUGUGUUCUUUCCAUCUCACCUGUCUCUGUGUAUCCACCUCCAUCCAGUGUCCCCUGCAUGUCCCUGCCAUCCAUACAUGCCAUUACCCUCUGUUGUAGAAUACAGUCCUCCAAGCAAAGCAACUGCCAUUAUCAUCAGGUCAGCUGUCCCUGCUUUCAGGAGUCCAUCCUGAUUAGGCUUGUGGACUGUUGCUGUUCUCACAUAGAAGCAGACAAUGAGGGAGGACCUUUACCUGAGACUCUGGGGAGAAGCAAAGAGGAAAUGCUAAGGGGUGAGAGGUGCUUCCCUCCUUCUCGGAGCAUAUGAAGUCUCUCAGGCACAUUACAGACUGGCCCUCCAACAGGUCCUGGGCCCCAGCAGCUCUGCGGUAGGUGCAGAAGGUCAUGAUGAGCUGUGGCUCUGCCUUGUGUGUAGAGAUAUUCACACCAGCAGGGAUGCCUUUACAUUUGUGCCCAGGGAAGAGCUCCACCCAUGCGUUCUUCAGCUGGCAUUCAGAAGCCAGACCGAUGUCCCACCCUUGUACAUGCCAUUCAUUAACUGCAAAACCUGGGCAGAUGAGUUCCCUCUCUGCGAUGCUUGUCACCUAUGAAGUGGGGUAAUGAAGCUGACUCUGGGAUUCCCAAAGACUCAGAUGUGAAGGGAGGUGGCAUGUUUGGGACAGAGGGGCAGGCAGCUCUGGAUUUUCCUUCUUUAUGCCAGCCACUCCCUGCACCAAGUGUUUCCAUGUCCUGUCCACUAAGACUGGCUUCUUUAACCUAAGCUGGCUAGCCUUUCCCCACUGGUGCCAAACAAGCCUUUAAAAAUGAUGGGAUUUCCAGGCAGAACAGUCGAGGAGACACUAGACUGACUUUUGGCAUGAGAAGCGGGUUUGCAGGGAGUCAGACGACAAGCGUCCUGUGAUGCGUUUCCCAGACGGUGGCAGCUGGCGCAGGUCGUCUCCUGUAGACUGUUUCACAGAGCUGGCUUGAGAUUGCAGGCCAAGGAAAGUGUCCACAGGAGAGAUUUCUGCUUUGUCUCUUGAAGAACUGUCUGCAGGGGUGGAGAUAGUGCCCUUACAGCAGAGGACUGUUCCCAGGAUCGGUGAAGUCACCUAAAAUCACCUAAAUUCCUGCUUGUCUGUGAUGACAGUCCCACACAAGGAUCUGAUCUCACAUGCUUCUACAUGGUGGCCAGGAUCAUAGGCAGCUCAUGCAGAGGCAGCCAGCCUGUACUGUGGGAAGGGCUCAGCCCACUGUGGGUAGUGCCAUCCCUAGGCAGGUAGUCCUGGGUGAUAUAAAACAGAUAGCUGACUCUGAGGCUGGGAACAAGCCAACCAUUGGUGUUCGUGCAUGGUCUCUGCUUCAGUCCCUGCCUUCAGGUUCCUGCUUGAGUCCCUUGAUGACAGACUGUGGUUAGGGCUUGUCAGCCAAGUAAACCCUUUAAUCC